AACGAACGCUGGCGGCAGGCUUAACACAUGCAAGUCGAGCGCCCCGCAAGGGGAGCGGCAGACGGGUGAGUAACGCGUGGGAAUCUACCCAUCUCUACGGAAUAACGCAUGGAAACGUGUGCUAAUAACGUAUACGUCAUUCGGUAGAAAGAUGUAGCGGAGAUGGAGGAGCCCGCGUUGGAUUAGCUAGUUGGUGGGGUAAAGGCCUACCAAGGCGACGAGCCAUAGCUGGUCUGAGAGGAUGCUCAGCCACACUGGGACUGAGACACGGCCCAGACUCCUACGGGAGGCAGCAGUGGGGAAUAUUGGACAAUGGGCGCAAGCCUGAUCCAGCCAUGACGCGUGAGUGAUGAAGGCCCUAGGGUUGUAAAGCUCUUUCACCGGUGAAGAUAAUGACGGUAACCGGAGAAGAAGCCCCGGCUAACUUCGUGCCAGCAGCCGCCGUAACAC
rnacentral:rRNA from 1 species